GCAGCGAACGACUCACCCAUUAGUUGCGAGUUUAAGCUGGAAGCGUUGUGAGGUUCGAUCGCGAGCGUCUACCCGAAACCGAAAGGUGCUGCUGGAGUGUGGAGUGUGGAUAUUCACUUACUGGUUUCUCGAGAGUGCUGUAUUUGUGUUCCUGCCCUGGUGGUUAGGUCAGUUGCGUUGAUCUGAAGAACCUGAUCAAGAGUGGGGUGCAUUCCAACAAAGGUGCGACGACAGCCAAGAAGUGUUCUUGUAAUAUCAAUGGUGUUUUUUGAGGGAUGCUAUCGCGUGAGUGUUUCGGUGCUUUGUUUGGGAAGAUUGCUGCUUCAGUAUUGAUAAACAUCGAAUUGUGAAUCAUAGUUAAGCCCUAGGUUGAUAACCCUCAUGUGACACGACCCAGAAAGAUCCUAUCCGAAGAACGGGAAAUUAAAAGGUGCCUUCAUGGGAGAAUUGUUUGUUGCGUAUGCAUAUAGCAAAGUGUGAAGCGAAGUGUAACAACCGCCGAAGAACCCUCCACCGCUACUCGUGAUAUUACAAUUAGGAAGUAAGCAGAAAGGAGUGAAAAAAAAAACCUUUGAGCAUUGCUCAAUAUCAACAACAACAACAGCCCCAAAAUAAAGGAGAAGAAUCUGGUUUUUGCUGUUGUUUCAAGUGCAAGGGGAGAAGAAAGAUUACCUCAGGAGUGUGUGAUAAAGCAGCGGAGAAGAAGAAUACAAAGCGAAAAGUAUAAACGCUCUGUGUGCCCAACAUUUAUAAAACCCAAGAAGAGUGCUACUUUGGAGUUUUCCAACACAACAACGGCCCCGAUCGGCGAGGAGAGUAGGUAUACGUCCGUUCUCGUUCCAUGCGAGUGAUCGUUGAAGAAGCAAGAAAAAAAAGCUACCUUUUCUGAAGGCGGCAAAGUCCCAUCGCCGUCUCGUCACAGUCUCCACCAACCGCCGCGCCGCGCUAACCGUUCAAUAGUGGAGUUCUUCACAGCAGCAACAUAAAGCGGGGAAUUUAUGAACGUGUGGAAUACAGCAGCCAUCAACUAGUGUAUGAAAGUGUGGAUGGUAGUGUACAAUCGAAUCUAGCGAGCUGCACGCUCGUUUAAACUAGCCUUCUGAAAAGGAAUCUCUUUUUUCCUGUGUGUUCUGUGGAACUUCUAGUUCUGAGGCUAGACUAUCUCGUUGGAUUUGUUGAUUGGCUUGAUUGGCUGCUAAA